UUGCUUACAUAUCUUUACGUAGGAAUUUCUGUGUUGCUGGCAUUUACAACUUCAUGCUAUGGGGUGGGGAUACAAGUGUGAAAACUUGGAGAUCAAUAAAGGGACAAGUUGUUUAGCAUUUAUCUACCCUCUCGGCAGUGAUUGCAUAACAUGGCCGGCAGAUCAUUGGUGUCUGCGCCAUCUGCUGGUGGAUGGCACAAGAGGUGUUCAAGCGAGUGAAUGACAUGUACGCCGUGGCGGCACAACCCUGUUUCGGGGAGAAAAGGACUGAGGCCCUAUAGCUGCGGGAUAAAUUGUUCUUGUACAAACAAGGGGGUGGCUUUUCGAUACACUUUGGAGAAGACCCUGCUGUUAAAGAAGAUUAUGAUGGUACAGAGCACUCCGGAAACUAGAUACCAGACACCAACAUGAUUUGAUUGUCCAGUAUAUUUGAUGCUGCAAAAUCUGGAAGCUGCAAAUGUAAUGCUGAACAUCUCAUUUCAAAGUAUUAUGUAAUGAUGUUUUUUUCUCUUUUAACUUUUUCUUUAUAUCUUAAUAAAUGUCGCGGUUAUUAAUUUAACUUUGGGAUAAGAAUACGAUUUUCUGUCUCAUUUGGUACAUAGAAGCUUGAGCCUUUUCCCUUUUG